rnacentral:snRNA from 1 species
CUUUAAUGACAUGAACGUUAAUA